CGUAGCACACAGCUCAGUAGCACGUGGCCAACCUGCCCUUGGGACGGGAACACCCCGGGAAACUGGGGCUAAUUCCCGAUAGGUGAAGAUUCCUGGAAUGGGUUUUCGCCGAAAAGACGUUUAUGGCAUGCUCCUAAGCGUUGCCUAAGGAUGGGGCCGCGGCCGAUCAGGUUGUUGGUGAGGUAAUGGCUCACCAAGCCUUUAACCGGUUCGGGCCGUGGGAGCGGUAGCCCGGAGAUGGGCACUGAGACAAGGGCCCAGGCCCUACGGGGCGCAGCAGUCGCGAAAACUUCGCAAUAAGCGAAAGCUUGACGGGGCCAUCCCGAGUGCCAUCUGCUGAGGAUGGCUUUUACCCAGUGUAGAUAGCUGGGGGAAUACGGAGAGGGCAAGUCUGGUGUCAGCCGCCGCGGUAAUACCAGCUCUCCGAGUUGUGGGGACGUUUAUUGAGCUUAAAGCAUCCGUAGCCGUCUGGGCAAGUCCUCUGUUAAAUCCAGCGACUAUUCGUUGGCCUGCGGGGGAUACUGCUCGGUUAGGGGUCGGGAGAGGCCGUCGGUAUUCUUGGGUUAGGGGUGAAAUCCUAUAAUCCCAGGAGGACCACCAGUGGCGAAGGCUGUCGGCUAGAACGCGCCCGACGGUGAGGGAUGAAAGCUGGGGGAGCGAACCGGAUUAGAUACCCGGGUAGUCCCAGCUGUAAACGAUGCAGGCUAGGUGUUAGAGCGGCUACGUGCCGCUCUAGUGCCGCAGGGAAGCUGUUAAGCCUGCCGCUUGGGGACGCCGGCAGGCUGAACUUAAACGCCA
rnacentral:rRNA from 1 species